UCCUUCCAUUCGACCGACUAAUCGUUAAACCUGAGUGGGGCGACAUUAAAGAAGCACAGAGAGCACCAAUGGCGGAGGCUAUGGAACUCAAAGAAGGGGUUUGAAUGAGAUGGUUAAAAAAGGAGCUGGGUAGGUUCCAAUCUGCCGCAAUAGUCUCAGCGAAGGGGCAUCUGCAUCAUUAAAGAAAAGAAGAAAUCGAACUUCUUGUGGAAAAUCCUAUUGUUUCUCUCUCCACACAUGGUAAACAAAUCUCGCCAGGAAAACAACUUUAAUCAGAAUUCUGAAGCGAGUCUUGAAGUGGGAUGGUAUGUUCUUGGCGAAGGUCAACAGAAUAUUGACCCCUAUGAUUUUUCUAAGUUGCAUGGGAACUACUAAAAUGAACUUAGCUGUUGAUGCGUUGCCUCCGUUUCGGUGUUGCAAAUUGAGACAUCCUGAUGUUGGUCUUCAACUUGUUGGUACAAUUCACAUUGGCUCGGAGAGGUAUGUUUUUGGUUCCCGCGUUUAUGGCUGUUGGUUUUAGAGUUCAUUUAUUCUACUGGUGCACUUUUGCCUGUAAGCAUUAACAAGCCAUUAUAUUUUGUAAUUUUUGCUGAUAAUAGCGACAUUUUCUUUUCAUUAUAUUUUUCAAUUUUUCCGUGCUCACUUUGAAUAUAUACGCAGGACGUGGUAUGAAAGGCAAGCUUAAUAAUCUUCAAUUUCGGAAGAACUGAAACCAUCCUGAUCUCUUAGAGUCAGCCUUUGAUGGCUCUUGUAUGCUUUUUGCAAUAUCAAUUAGAUUUAAAAUAUAAUGAGUUCUCUAUAAUUUUAUGCAAUUUUUUUCUUGCUUGAUUUCUUAACAGCCUCUACCCAUCUGUAGAGCAGAAGUUGAAGUGCGGCAAAUUUCACUUGCUGGACAGAUGGCUGGCAAAGUUAUUUCCUUGGAAGCACAAAGUUCUAAUCUUCUGGUGUAGACGAAGUUUAGAUAUACUUGAUUACGACUUCAGUGAAAAGGGAUUUGAGGUUUGUAGAAUUGGUGGUAGUGUGAAAUUGUCUGAAAGAAAAAGACAGUUUACAAAAUUUGCCAGAAUGUAUACUCUUCAGUUUGGUAAGCCCCACUGGGCUGAUCAUUGAGAUCAAGGAGUUCAAUGACUAGAACAGUAAUUACGGAAUCUCGUCAGCACUAGGGCUGGUGGGCUGGGUAUCAAUCAUACUGCAGCUGAUACCUGCAUUUUAUACUAUAGUGAUCGGUUGCAUCCCAGAAUCCCCAAAUGGAUUUACAUGCUAUGGAUUGAUGUCACAGAAUAGGUCAAACAAAGCCCGUUCAUGUUUACAGGCUGGCAACAACUCAAAUCUGUAGAGGUCCUUUAUGAUUGGCUUUGUUCUUUUGUUUUAUGUAAUGCAAUUUGCUAUUCUACUUGUAAUGGGAAGAAGCUGUAUAACGCUAUCAGGGUCGAAUUCUGAAAAGAGCUUGCAGUUAGUUAAGGCUUGAGCAUGUCGUGAUUGGGAAAGGGCAGUUUCAGCAAGAAAGAACCACAUCUAACAGUACAGAUCUUACGGAGAUUCUAUCUCCCUCGAAACUUUUUCAUUAAUGAAGCUGUGUUAUUACCGGAGGACCUUCUGGCACUGCUCUGAGAUGAAGAAGAUCCUGAAGACGGGAUGAUACAAACGGAAAUCUCUGAUGAAGAUUUGGAAAGGGUUUUGGACCGCAGUGAUCUGCUUGGUGUUACGCCAAAUGAAGAGGGAGAACCAGAUGCCGCUGUUAGUUUGUUUCCCCUUAAAGGGCCUAGUUGGGAGGUGGUGAUGCCAAUUGCGUGGAGGCAUGCUCUCCAAUCUCAACAGCUGAGAGACUGGUUUAGUUUAUGUGGGAUUUAGUUAGGUUUCAGGCAGGAUUUUUGGGAGUAGUGUGCGCCGUUGAUCUGCGUUGUUUUGGAUCUGACAUGUUUUUGGAUGCUAGAAUUGCAAACAGACUUCACUUUCAAUUCUCUCGGAAGGAAGCUGAUAAUUUCAAAUACCUUCACAUUACUAACUUCUUUUACAGAAUAAUAUAUGGGCAUAUACCCUUUAUUAAAGAGAGACAAAGAGAAUCGAAAAUUGUAGUGCAAUGAUAUUUCUUCCACUUCUAAAAGUGUGAGUUCAGGAGUUUAACUUCCCCGUUGUGCUAGUUCUUUGCCAAAGAAAAAUGAAAUAAAAUAUC